GAGAGUUUGAUCCUGGCUCAGAUUGAACGCUGGCGGCAGGCCUAACACAUGCAAGUCGAGCGGCAGCACAGAGGAACUUGUUCCUUGGGUGGCGAGCGGCGGACGGGUGAGUAAUGCCUGGGAAAUUGCCCGGUAGAGGGGGAUAACCAUUGGAAACGAUGGCUAAUACCGCAUAACCUCGCAAGAGCAAAGCAGGGGACCUUCGGGCCUUGCGCUACCGGAUAUGCCCAGGUGGGAUUAGCUAGUUGGUGAGGUAAGGGCUCACCAAGGCGACGAUCCCUAGCUGGUCUGAGAGGAUGAUCAGCCACACUGGAACUGAGACACGGUCCAGACUCCUACGGGAGGCAGCAGUGGGGAAUAUUGCACAAUGGGCGCAAGCCUGAUGCAGCCAUGCCGCGUGUAUGAAGAAGGCCUUCGGGUUGUAAAGUACUUUCAGUAGGGAGGAAGGUGGUUAAGUUAAUACCUUAAUCAUUUGACGUUACCUACAGAAGAAGCACCGGCUAACUCCGUGCCAGCAGCCGCGGUAAUACGGAGGGUGCAAGCGUUAAUUGGAAUUCCUGGGCGUAAAGCGCAUGCAGGUGGUUUGUUAAGUCAGAUGUGAAAGCCCUGGGCUCAACCUAGGAAUCGCAUUUGAAACUGACAAGUUAGAGUACUGUAGAGGGGGGUAGAAUUUCAGGUGUAGCGGUGAAAUGUGUAGAGAUCUGAAGGAAUACCGGUGGCGAAGGCGGCCCCCUGGACAGAUACUGACACUCAGAUGCGAAAGCGUGGGGAGCAAACAGGAAAAGAUCCCCUGGUAGUCCCCGCCGUAAACG
rnacentral:rRNA from 1 species